rnacentral:rRNA from 1 species
GAGUUUGAUCCUGGCUCAGGAUGAACGUUGGCGGCGUGGAUUAGGCAUGCAAGUCGCACGCCCCGCAAGGGGAGUGGCGCAAGGGUGAGUAAGGCGACGGUAACCAACCCCCCGGACGGGCAUAGCCGCGGGAAACCGCGGGUAAUUCCCGGCGACGUCCGAGGCCGGCAUCGGCCCCGGACCACAGUUCCGGCGCCGGGGGACGGGCCGUCGUGGUAUUAGCUAGUUGGCGGGGUGACGGCCCACCAAGGCGGCGAUGCCUACCGGGCGUGCGAGCGUGGCCCGGCACACUGGGACUGAGACACUGCCCAGACUCCUACGGGAGGCUGCAGUCGAGAAUCUUCGGCAAUGGGCGCAAGCCUGACCGAGCGACGCCGCGUGGAGGACGAAGGCCUUCGGGUUGUAAACUCCUGUCGAGGGGGAGGAAGGCACAAGCUUGACCGAUCCCUGGAGGAAGCACGGGCUAAGUUCGUGCCAGCAGCCGCGGUAAGACGAACCGUGCGAACGUUAUUCGGAAUCACUGGGCUUAAAGCGCGUGUAGGCGGGCCGCCACGUCGGGCGCUGAAAUCCCCCGGCUCAACCGGGGAACGGGCACCGAUACGGGCGGCCUGGAGGGGGGUAGGGGGGCCGGAACUCACGGUGGAGCGGUGAAAUGCGUUGAGAUCGUGAGGAACGCCCGUGGCGAAAGCGGGCCCCUGGACCUUUACUGACGCUGAGACGCGAAAGCUAGGGGAGCGAACGGGAUUAGAUACCCCGGUAGUCCUAGCCGUAAACGAUGGGCACUGGGUAGGGGGCUCGCCGAUGGGCUCCCUGCCGCAGGAAACCGUGAAGUGCCCCGCCUGGGGAGUAUGGUC